rnacentral:tRNA from 1 species
GCCCGGAUGGCGGAAUUGGUAGACGCGUCGGUCUCAAACACCGAUGAAGCAAUUCGUACCGGUUCGAUCCCGGUUCCGGGCA